CCCUUAGAUGUUCUGGGCCGCACGCGCGCUACACUGAUGCAUUCAACGAGCCUAUCCUUGACCGACAGGUCCGGGUAAUCUUUGAAUCUGCAUCGUGACGGGGAUAGAUUAUUGCAAUUAUUAAUCUUCAACGAGGAAUGCCUAGUAGGCGCAAGUCAUCAGCUUGCGUCGAUUACGUCCCUGCCCUUUGUACACACCGCCCGUCGCUCCUACCGAUUGGGUGAUCCGGUGAAUUAUUCGGACUGCAACGCGCCCAGUUCCUGGAUGCAGUUGCGGUAAGUUUUGUGAACCUUACCACUUAGAGGAAGGAGAAGUCGUAACA
rnacentral:rRNA from 1 species